rnacentral:misc_RNA from 1 species
GCCGUCUUCGAGCACCUGUAAUCACAUGCGCCUGGGCACUCUUGUUGGGAGAAUCCAGAAUGCUUGUGCUUAUGCUUUGCAACCAGGCUCAUCCCAUCAUCUUGCUCUAGCAUGUCCUUGGACAGAGAGACUGCCAUUGUUACACCAGUGCAGAGGAGCAAAGAGAGGAGGACGAGAGCAAGAAAAGAUUUAUUCACUGCCAUUGGAGG